rnacentral:rRNA from 1 species
AUACGGAGGGUGCAAGCGUUAAUCGGAAUUACUGGGCGUAAAGGGCGCGUAGGCGGUCUAUCAAGUCAGGUGUGAAAUCCCACGGCUCAACCGUGGAGGUGCAUCUGAAACUGAUAGACUUGAGUAUGAGAGAGGAAAGUGGAAUUCCCAGUGUAGAGGUGAGAUUCGUAGAUAUCGGGAGGAACACCAGUGGCGAAGGCGACUUUCUGGACCAAUACUGACGCUGAGGCGCGAAAGCGUGGGGAGCAAACAGAAUUAGAAACCCUAGUAGUCC